AAAUAGAACUUUGCAGAGAGAGUUAACAGGGCGUGAAACCGUUAAUUGGCAAACGAAUCGGAGCCACGAAGUCGUUUCGUUGUUUAACCUGGGACUAGGUUCAGUGUGGAAGAGAUUCCAUGCGUAUUCCUGUGUCUGGUUUAACUUUGUAAGCGUACACUGCAACCAGUUAGACGAUUGGUUAUGGAACUAGUUGCUAACUCAAAUUAGUAGUAGUGCUGUACGUUCUUGUAAUGUAUUGGUGUUGCUGGAUUUGUGGUUGGUGAACUAUAACCAAAUACUGACUGGCAAAAUAAAAAUCGCCUUUAUUGUGCGUAUCAAACAAUGCUGCAGUUGUAGUACAACUAUCUACACAUUCAGCUACUAAGUCUUAAGCUCAGCAUUUUUAAAUUCAGACCUGCUUGCUACCAAUGGGGCAACUCUUGGUGCUUGUAUGGCUUCUGUCUAAUUGGGUGUUGACUUGGCCUAGUAUUGUCUGUAAUGUGCUACGAUCGGGUGGUUGUAUUAGUUAGCAAGCUAGAAUUGGCAGUGAGUAGGUCGGCUUUCCGAACGACCCGUCUUGAAACACGGACCAAGGAGUCUAAUUAGGCAUCGAGUCGAUCGGUCUUGAAUAGGCCAGAUAGUGGUAUUUAUCACGGUUGAAGGCGUAGAGAAAUCAUGUGAUCCUGUUGGCAAAAUCAGCCACUUGGCGCAACAUGUGCCUGUUCGUAUAGCAAUGUAGCAAUAAUUGCUGGCGGAGUCAAGAGAUGCCUGAUUGGGACCCGAAAGAUGGUGAGCUUGGGCAAAUUGAAGCCAGAGGAAACUCUGGUGGAGGAUUGUAGCGAUUCUGACGUGCAAAUCGAUCGUCAGACCUGAGUAUAGGGGCGAAAGACUAAUCGAACCAUC
rnacentral:rRNA from 1 species